rnacentral:tRNA from 1 species
AGCCCUGAGGUGUCUUUCACGUUAGGUUGCAAACCUAAAGAAGCAGACGAAUAGUCUGCCGGGGCUU